UGACUUCUUGACUGUGGUGUCGGAGCCUUGCGCAGAACAUUUCAAGCAAAUACUGGAUGAAUAAUACGCCUGCUCUGCGGUCAGUUGUCCCAACAGAAAAGUCCCAGAAGCUUGCGCUCCUGUUCUUUCGUUUUCCUCCAGAAGAUCCAGACUGACUGGACCAGUGGAAGCUUAACAUGAGGCAGAACCGAACUCAGACUCAUCAAUUCAGCACUGACCCCAGGUCGUCGUCACCACAGUAGAUGAUGAGGACCUCAGCUGCUGCUCUUCCUCACGGAGUGGAAACAGAGUGGAAGAAGGCGUUUCCACCACAUACCAACAGCUUGCCAAGGUCUGCAGCUCUCUGGACACCUCGACGGACAAACUCAUCACCACGUCCAUAUUGCGACUGUAGGAUUAAAAUUGAUAAAUGAGUGUGAUAAAUGCUUC